UGAUUCCUCUUUUGAUGUUGAAUUUAAUUGCAACUGGAAUUCCUUAGGUGAGAAACUCUUUCGUGGCUCUUGGAAUUGUGUUGGUAGUGAUUGAGUUGGAUUUGGACUUCUGAAAAUUCGAAAUUUGGUUCCCUGCUGUUUUCCCGCCUCUGCUGUCAAUUUCUGCUGUCAAGGUGAUUUGGGCAGUUUCUGCGAGUGAUUUGGGCAGAUCACUUGCCCAAUCUGCCCCAAUCGCUC
rnacentral:lncRNA from 1 species